GAUCUCGUCGGCGAGACCGUGCGUCAUGGUGAUCUUGCCGCCUUUCGCCCUGAACGCGCCGAUGUCCGUGUUGGUGGCAUCGCUCAAUGCGGAGACCGUCUGCACGCGCGAGCGAUACGUGCCCGGAUCG
rnacentral:tRNA from 1 species